ensembl:lncRNA
UGUGUGUGUGUGUGUGCUUGAUCAACUCUAGAUUUGUGGAGCUUGAGGUGGAGGAGGUGACAGCUAAGGAAAGGUCAAAGGUCAUACAAAGGUCACCGUCAGGUCAGAGUGGAGCCCAGGCUGAGUUGAAAGGUCAGGUCAGGAUAUUUAGAUAUGUUUAACCCUUUUUUGUUUAGCAUAUGUGUUAUUUCAUAGUUUUGAUGUCUUCACUAUUAUUCUACAAUGUAGAACAUUAAAAAAAAUAAGAAAAACCCUUGAAUGAGUAGGUGUUCUAAAACCUUUAACCGGUAGUGUAUAGUUAAUUAUAUAUAUAGUUAAAGUGAUUAACCAAAAAGUGAAUUAAUCAUUUGUAUCAACGAAUGAAGCCACAUGGUGUGGCAACUUUAUGAUGGUCUCUCUCUCUCUUUCUCUCCCUCUUUCUCUCUCUCUCCCCUCUCUCUCUUUCUCUCCCUCUUUCUCUCCCCUCUCGGCAGGUUACACGGGGAAGAGCAGUGCCACCACGUCAGCCAAAGAGACAGAAACCAAAUGCAACACAAGAGUUAACCAAGCCAAAGACAAAACUCAGAGGGCCACUAAGAGUGGCAGUGGUCCUAGAGUGUCCCGUGGUCGCCGACUAGGGAAAGUGGACAUCAAGGUCCUGGAGGAACGUGCCCUCGGGGAGUACACUGCAGCCAUGGAGGCCCUCCUUAUUGACCCCACCGGGAUCAGGGAGAGGUUAGAGGUCAGAAAUCAAGAGGAAGAGGGGGAUGAGAAGAAGAAUGAUGAGGAAGAGGAGGGAGGAGGAGAUGGGGAAGGCUCGUUCACAGAGUACCUGAAUGAGCUGUGCAGUCAGAAGGAGUUUGUCACUAAGGUAAUGAACAGACAAAGGAAUUGAUGUGAUGUCUAUUUUUCUUACAAUCAUAAGCAUUUCCUGGUGGAUUCUGUCUUUUCAGUCUUAUAAAUCAUAUAGUGUGAUGAUGGAGUUUUAAGGUAACGAACAACAGUUGAGAAAAAAUAAGAAACCUGCACACUGCUCUUGUUGGUAUCCCUGCUAUUUAUUAACCUUUACAUAUCGGCCUCAAGGCCUUCGUCUGAGCUUUUGUGAGUGUUUGUAAUUUGCAACCUUAUAUAGACAUGGCUCCACCCACAUCCGUUCAAUGCACCGAAUGGGGUUGGAGUCGAGGGAAAAUAAGCAAGUGUUACCAAAUAUAACAAUGUGCAUUUCAUAAGUAUUCUAAUGAAGUGUGUACAUAAAACGUAUUAAAAAAGUCUUAUCUAAGGGCGUCUCUUUUGUACCCACAUGUACAGACAAACCAUUUGAUACGAAAGUAGAUCUGUUUAAAUUCUUUCGCAAAAUUAAACUUAAACAUGUGUUUUCCCAAAACACUAUUUCUGGCAUAGAAACCCAACAAAGAACUGUUACCCAUUUUAAGCCCAAAAGAAAAUUGUGUUUUAUGGGUAACAACUCAUCGAUUAAUACCUAUUGUAGGUUAGUGGAACAAGAAGCCUUGUCAGUAUAUACGAGACAAACAAACCAUAUUCAGAAGAACCUCACCAGUACAGAAGAACAUGUUUGGUUAUCAAACCUGCAGACAAGGGGGGUGCUGUGGUUGUUUUAGAAAGACAGAGACAACUCAGUAAUGAACAUUUGUGUUGAUCCCACACAGGUGUUCCAAAGGGACAUUCGCUCUAAUCUGGAGCCCGAUUAAACAACCUCAUCUCACAACUUGAAUAUGAAUACCUUUGCUACAAAUGUGCCAUAUGUCCAUGCCUGUACAUUUAACCUAAAUUAGGGACUUAUCCAGGCAGACCAGUGGUUGCAGGAAUAAUCCCAAUGUUAGAGCCAUUGCUGAACUUUGUUGACUCUUUUAUUAAAUCUCACGUGCAAUCAUUGCCAUCAUAUGUGAAAGACUCUACAGACUUCAUAAACAAGAUUUCACCAAUAACGGGUUUAACAGAAGACAGUAUUUUGGUCACAUUAGAUGUUGAGAGUCUGUAUACCAGUAUUCCCCAUGUUGGGGGGCUGGCAGCACUAGCUCACUAUUUGAGAGACAGAGAUUCUAACAAAUACCGACCAACAGACUUCAUUCUAGAGCUG